rnacentral:rRNA from 1 species
UACGUAGGGUGCAAGCGUUGUCCGGAAUUACUGGGCGUAAAGGGCUCGUAGGCGGCCAACUAAGUCGGAUGUGAAAUCCCCAGGCUUAACCUGGGAACUGCAUCCGAUACUGGAUGGCUUGAAUCCGGGAGAGGGAUGCAGAAUUCCAGGUGUAGCGGUGAAAUGCGUAGAUAUCUGGAGGAAUACCGGUGGCGAAGGCGGGUCUCUGGGCCGAUACUGACGCUGAGGAGCGAAAGCGUGGGGAGCGAACAGG